rnacentral:rRNA from 1 species
UACGUAGGGUGCAAGCGUUAAUCGGAAUUACUGGGCGUAAAGCGUGCGCAGGCGGUUUUGUAAGCCAGAUGUGAAAGCCCCGGGCUCAACCUGGGAACUGCGUUUGGAACUACAAGACUAGAGUGUGUCAGAGGGGGGUGGAAUUCCGCGUGUAGCAGUGAAAUGCGUAGAGAUGCGGAGGAACACCAAUAACAAAAACAGCCCCCUAAAAUAACACUAACGCUCAUGCACGAAAGCGUGGGGAGCAAACAGG